rnacentral:rRNA from 1 species
CCUACGGGCGGCAGCAGUGGGGAAUAUUGGACAAUGGGGGGAACCCUGAUCCAGCCAUGCCGCGUGUGUGAAGAAGGCCCUCGGGUUGUAAAGCACUUUCAGUGAGGAAGAACGCCUGGUGGUUAAUACCCAUCAGGAAAGACAUCACUCACAGAAGAAGCACCGGCUAACUCCGUGCCAGCAGCCGCGGUAAUACGGAGGGUGUGAGCGUUAAUCGGAAUUACUGGGCGUAAAGCGCGCGUAGGUGGCUUGAUAAGCCGGUUGUGAAAGCCCCGGGCUCAACCUGGGAACGGCAUCCGGAACUGUCAAGCUAGAGUGCAGGAGAGGAAGGUAGAAUUCCCGGUGUAGCGGUGAAAUGCGUAGAGAUCGGGAGGAAUACCAGUGGCGAAGGCGGCCUUCUGGACUGACACUGACACUGAGGUGCGAAAGCGUGGGUAGCAAACAGGAUUAGAUACCCCAGUAGUC